GAUGAACGCUGGCGGCGUGCCUAAUACAUGCAAGUCGAGCGAACAGACGAGGAGCUUGCUCCUCUGACGUUAGCGGCGGACGGGUGAGUAACACGUGGAUAACCUACCUAUAAGACUGGGAUAACUUCGGGAAACCGGAGCUAAUACCGGAUAAUAUAUUGAACCGCAUGGUUCAAUAGUGAAAGACGGUUUUGCUGUUACUUAUAGAUGGAUCCGCGCCGCAUUAGCUAGUUGGUAAGGUAACGGCUUACCAAGGCAACGAUGCGUAGCCGACCUGAGAGGGUGAUCGGCCACACUGGAACUGAGACACGGUCCUGGCUCCUACGGGAGGCAGCAGUAGGGAAUCUUCCGCAAUGGGCGAAAGCCUGACGGAGCAACGCCGCGUGAGUGAUGAAGGUCUUCGGAUCGUAAAACUCUGUUAUUAGGGAAGAACAAAUGUGUAAGUAACUAUGCACGUCUUGACGGUACCUAAUCAGAAAGCCACGGCUAACUACGUG
rnacentral:rRNA from 1 species